GAACUGCGCGAACGUUAUUCGGAAUCACUGGGCUUAAAGAGUCCGUAGGCGGCCUGGCAGGUGGGGUGUGAAAGCCCACGGCUCAACCGUGGAAUUGCGCUCCAAACCGUCCGGCUCGAGGGGGAUAGAGGUGAGCGGAACUGAUGGUGGAGCGGUGAAAUGCGUUGAUAUCAUCAGGAACACCGGUGGCGAAAGCGGCUCGCUGGGUCUCCUCUGACGCUGAGGGACGAAAGCUAGGGGAGCGAACGGGGGAUUAGAUACCCCGGUAGUCCUAGCUGUAAACGAUGAGCACUAGAUCGAGGGGACUCCCCACAUCCCCCUGGUCGUAGCGAAAGUGUUAAGUGCUCCGCCUGGGGAGUAUGGUCGCAAGGCUG
rnacentral:rRNA from 1 species